UAUAAAUUAUUUCUGGUUUAAUAUUUAAUAUUUAUUUAAAUUAUAUAUAAAUUAUUUAAUAAUUAAAUUAUAUAUUUUAGAAAAAAAUAAUUUUGUUGGGUUUAUUAUAAUAUUUAAUUUUAAAAUAAAUUAAGGAAAUCUAAUUUUAGUAAUAUAAAGUAAUUAUUAAUUAAAAUUGUGCCAGCAAUUGCGGUUAAACAAUUAAUGAGAUUAAAUAGUAAGUUAAAUUUUAAAUUAUUUGUUUUAUCAAUAAAGAUAAUUAUAUUAUUUUAAUAAAUUUAAAUUAAAUAGGUUAAAUUUAAUAAUUUAAUUUAACAAUUUAAUAAUAGAAAAAAUUUUAAAAAAAUAUAAAUAAACUAGGAUUAGAUACCCUAUUAUUAAUUUUAAAAAUUGAGUUUAAUAAUUGAAUUAGUAAAAUUAAAAUUUUGAAAAUUAAAGAAUUUGACGGUAUUUAAAUCAAUUUAGAGGAAUUUGUUUAAUAAUUGAUAUUCCACAAAAAAAACUACUUAUUUUAAGAUUUGUAUAUCGUUGUUAUAAAAAAAUUUUUUAUUAAUUAAGAAUAUUUAAAAAUUUUAAAAUAAAUUUAUAUCAAAUCAAGAUACAGUUUAUUAAUAAGAAAAAAAUGAAUUACAAUAAUAGAAUAAAGAAUUAUGUUUAUUGAUUGAAAAUUAAUAAAUUUAAUUGGAUUUAAAUGUAAUUUAAAAUAUUUAUUUUUUAUGAUUAGUGUUUUUAAAUAAGUACAUAUUGCCCGUCACUCUCAUAAAUAAAAAAUGUUAGUUUUAAUUAUUAUUGAGAUAAGUCGUAACAUAGUAGAAGUAUUGGAAAAUGUUUCUAGAUUUUU
rnacentral:ncRNA from 1 species